GACGAACGCUGGCGGCGUGCUUAACACAUGCAAGUCGAGCGGUAAGGCCCUUUCGGGGGUACGACGAGCGGCGAACGGGUGAGUAACACGUGGGUGACCUGCCUUUAGCUCUGGGAUAAGCCUGGGAAACCGGGUCUAAUACCGGAUAUGACUCCGCGGCGCAUGUUGUGGGGUGGAAAGCCUUGUGCGGCUGGAGAUGGGCCCGCGGCCUAUCAGCUUGUUGGUGGGGUGAUGGCCUACCAAGGCGACGACGGUAGCCGGCCUGAGAGGGCGACCGGCCACACUGGGACUGAGACACGGCCCAGACUCCUACGGGAGGCAGCAGUGGGGAAUCUUGCGCAAUGGGCGAAAGCCUGACGCAGCGACGCCGCGUGAGGGAUGACGGCC
rnacentral:rRNA from 1 species